GACGAACGCUGGCGGCGUGCUUAACACAUGCAAGUCGAGCGGUAAGGCCCUUUCGGGGGUACACGAGCGGCGAACGGGUGAGUAACACGUGGGUGACCUGCCCUCAGCUCUGGGAUAAGCCUGGGAAACCGGGUCUAAUACCGGAUAUGACUCCAUGACGCAUGUUGUGGGGUGGAAAGCCUUGUGCGGCUGAGGAUGGGCCCGCGGCCUAUCAGCUUGUUGGUGGGGUGAUGGCCUACCAAGGCGACGACGGGUAGCCGGCCUGAGAGGGCGACCGGCCACACUGGGACUGAGACACGGCCCAGACUCCUACGGGAGGCAGCAGUGGGGAAUCUUGCGCAAUGGGCGAAAGCCUGACGCAGCGACG
rnacentral:rRNA from 1 species